CUGCUUGAUUUGGUAGCAUAUGUACUAAAAUUAGAACAAUGCAGAGCAGAGGGGAUUAAGCAUGUCCCAUUUGGAAGGAUGGUAUGUAAAUUCAUGAAGAAAUGCUUAUUUUU
rnacentral:snRNA from 1 species